AAACAAGAAAAAGGUUAGUUUUUAGUUACAUUGAGAAGCAAAUUGAGAUGAAACAAGAGAUGAACAGAUGAAGUAAAAGAUAUUCAAUGAAAAGCUGAAAUGUAAACACAUUUAUCAAGAUGAUCAUGAUUUUGACAGGAAAAAGCGUUCCAAUCAAAUGUUGGUCAUUUGAUGGUCAAAGAUUGUGAAUGUGUGUGAACAAAAAGAGGUAAAUCAAGAACGAAAUGAAAUGUUGUGCAAAAAAAUGGAAGCAAAAUGUUGCCUUUUUGUUGAAAUUAAACCAUUUUCUGGUUAAACCAACAGCUUGACCAACCUUAAGGUUGAGAGGCCGUUAACUGUAAUUGAAAGUGUUGAGAAGGCAAGAAAAGCGAAACAAAAAACAAUGAAAACUAGAAAACUGUUUAUCGGUUUAUAAUUAGCAUAAACUAUUGACCUUUACAAUUGCUUUUUGCAUCUUCAUCUUCAUUAUAAUCAUACUCAUCGGGUAACCUUUAUCUUCCUUGUUGGUCUCGAUGAAGAUGUUAUUAUUAUUGACUGGAACAAGAAGAAACCCAUUUAUUCAGUUGAUGAAGUUUUUAAAACAUCAUUAUUCAGUCCAUAAUAAUAUAAAGUUGAACCCAAAAAAAAGUGAAACAAAAAAAAGGCAAAAAGGUUACGUGAAAACAAAAAGGCCGAAAAAAGCGCAUAAUCUCGCAAAAUGUUAACCUUUUUGGGUUUUGCUGUUCAACUUUAUGAUCUGCUAUUAUUCAUGGUUAAAUGGUUAUUAAAGUAACAACAACGGCAAAGGUAAGUGCUGUUAAUUGUGGCUCUUGAGUAUCUUGACUGUGGCUCUAUUAAGAUGUUAACGUUUCAAUUUGAAAUUGGUGAAGACAAUGGAAACUGUUGCAUUAAAACAAUUUAACAGGUAAAUUAAUGUUUCCCUUUUUGGCACGCAUUUUAUUUCUUUCCCUAUCAAAGUGUAUCUUAAAUGGUUAAACACUGAUUUAAGUAAAUCACGAGCGACAAUUAGAUGGAAAUUUCAUUGUAAUUCAUUCAAUGAUAAUUAAAUUAUUGAAGCUUUUCGUUUGCCAAUUUGCUGUUGAAUGUUUUAAAUACCAAGGAACAAAACAAAUGCGAUUCAACGCCAUUUACUCAUCAAUCAUCAUUCACUUUUCCGAUUGUAAACAUUUUGCUACAUGAAAAUGGUAAUCAUGAUGAUGGUUAAGAUGAUACCGGAUAAGAUGAUAAUUGAGGGAUUAGAUAACAGAUAAUGAGAUGAAGAUAAUGGUCAUUAUGAUUAUGAUUGUGUUCAUCAAAUGGCCUUUUUUGGUAAAAACAUUGAAUCAACUCUAAUUUACUUUAACAUUGCCUGUUAACACGACUAACCCAAUGUUAACCCAAUGUUAAUCGGUUCAACAACCAAUAAUCCAAUGAUGAUGAUACUUGUUAUGGUAAUAUCCUCAAGAUGAAAGGUGAACCAGGAAAGGUUAAAAGGUGAUAAUUGAGAUGAUAAUUUGGCAACAAUUUUAAAUGUAAAUUGUGAAAAGUGAAAAAUGCUGGUAAAACAUUGAUUACCAAUCGAUCGGUUUAACCUAACCUAGUCUUGUUGUAUAAUGGCUUUCAUCUGAUUAAAGCAAAAAUUAAAUCCAAAUUAUCAGCUAAUGUUUUAUAGCUGUUGUCAUAACGCCAUUAACAUUGCUUUGUGAAUCAUUGGUUACUUCAAAGAUUACAUUUUAUGUUACUUUUAAGGGUUACUCAAAGUUCACCCAUUUUCUGGUCUUCGGGUUAUUUUGAUAAUAAAUUGUUCUUAAGCAGAUUUCAAUGGUUAUUUCAAUGGUUUAUCUAACAAUUAAUUUUGAAAGAUGAGUUCAUUUGAGUCUAGACUGACUUUAAAUGAGUUUACAUUCAACCUUUACAUUUAUCUAAUUUUCUGGUUUUACCUUUCAUGAGUUAUAACAUUGCACUCAAUAAGAGUCAAUUUUCAACUUUUAUUACUAGACUUGGAUUGACUGGAGUUUAACUGAUUGAUUGGCUUCUGAAUCUGUUUCACCCUGAAACUGUAUUUUCAUCGGUAAAAUUGAUUUGAUGCUAAUAAACAUUUUCCAGCAAACAGCAGAUUUUACCAGUUCAAGUUAAUUGGUUGAAUAUGGUUUAAAAAUAAAGGUUACAGCGUUGAUGGGUUUCACAGGUAAAGAUCAGUUUAAUCUCGGCAGAACUUGUUAAAUCUGAAAAGCCUGAAUUAUUCAACUACGAAUGUCAACUGAUUGCAAUGAAUUAGCUCAAUGCAAAUAAUACUUAAUCUUUUGAUAAACAUCUAAUAUUUAAUGUCAAUAAUGAGCAAUAAACAUUUACUUUAUAGUAUGUAAUUCAUCAAUUGUAAACGCUAUCAUUAAUCAUUUGAAUAACAAUCGGUCAACAUUGAUAGAAAUGACUGAAACAAGGAAAUCUGUAAUCAACUGAAAAUCACUUUAAAUAAACAUCUUUAGUGAUUAACUCACAGAAUCACAAUCAGGGAAGAAGCUUAAUGAUUGGUAAAAAUUGAUGAGAAUCUAAAUAAUGGCUUGGAAUAGACUGAAUCUUUGCCUGAAAAUGAUUAAUUAACGGUUCUUUCAUGUUAUUAGCAAGAAAGGUAAAUAUAAAGUAACACCUUUCAGCCACACACUUGCGAUUAAUCAUGAAAGAGGGUGAAAUGGGAGUGAAAACGGAUACAAGAAAAUGUUCAUUGAUUGUUCCUCUCUCAUUAUUUGUUGAUUUAUUCAAAAAUUAUUUUCAGACAAACUGUUAUUUUUUUUCAAGACAACUUUAGUGUUACAUAUAAGCCAAGCCCAAAGGUAACAAGAACAUCAAGAAAAAACUGUUUUGACAGGUAAACUCAAUAUUUAACUGAACCAUGUUUGGACAAGUUUCAUUGAGUAUUUGCCUUUAAUAAUUUCAAUUUUUUCUUCUUCUUCCUCAAGUUGAACAACUUUUGACAGAAAUGUCAAUACUGAUUGACCUUGACAGUUGAUGGGUCAGUGAAAGAGGAGUGGACACUGCCAUUGAUAAUCCCACUGUUGGUGGUAGUGAAGGCUCCUAACCAUCAAAUUUGGUGACCUCAACAAGCGUUACAUCGGCCAAGAAGAAGAAGAAGAAGAAGAAGAAAAUUUUUUCUCGAAAAAAAAUGAUACAAAAUUUCGCAUUUCAAUUACAAAGUGUAUCAUUUUGAUUAUUUAAUAGACACUUUUGAACACUUGUACAAAUGUAAUGUUUGGUUAACCUGGUAAUUGAACAUUUCACUUUACAACUUAAUGAUUAAAGUUUAAACCCAAACCCAAAUCAAUCAACCAAUAACCACAUAAUCAUUAGCCUCUUUAGGUAAUAAUCAUGAAACAGAGUUUAAUCAAUCAAAGAAUGUCAAAAAUCCCAAAAAUGCGCUCCUAAUCUCAAUAUCUUACAAUGGUUAAGGUAUUAAAGGUGAAUCGAGUCCAUUGUUUAAGCUCAACUUGAAUCCAUUUAUGGUGAGAAUGCAUGAUGAGAAUGAGAAACUGGACGAUUCCAAGAGUCACUUUGACCACUUGUUGUUGCCUUCAAUAUUUACAAUAUUUCACCCUCAAUAAAAGCAAACAAUGAAAACGUACUUUUAUCAACAUUUCAAGAUCAAUUGUUAUCUGAUACAAAAGGCUGAUUACAGUGUUAUCAGUCUAAUUGAUCUAGUCUAAUGGAAGUCUCCAAGUUUAUGAUUUACUUUACGAUCGACUUGAGGCAAAAAGAGCAGGGAACACAACAACUAGGAACGCAAAGUCAACGAAACGUAUUCAAGUUUCCACUAAAAUUACUACUUGUUUACAAAGGAAAAGACACAAAAAAAUUGUUUCUUCCUCAUAAGAUAUUCAAAGUUAUCAUUGAUGUAUUAUGAUAAUAGACAUUUUACACUGUCUUGUUAUUAUUGUACAUUUGAGGGCAACCUACGACUCUAUGGUUAAAGCUGUUGAUCAACUGUUUGAUAAUCACAUUUCAUGAUUAACCUUUCAUCAAUCAAGGCAAUAUGUUGCCAAAAGUCAAAUGAAAAGCAAUGUGAAAUACAUUUGCAAAUGUUUCUCAUUCACUGUUCAUCAUUGACCUUUUACCUCCCAUUUCAAUAUAAUGAUGCCCUAUUGAUCAACAAAAAAGGUUAACAAAUAAGAUUCAGAUGACAGUUCAAUUUCCUAUCCACUGAUUGGUCAGCAAAAACAUAACCUUUUCCGUUUCAAAUCAACAAUUAACUUAAUAAAAGUAUCACCUUUACCCUCUUCCCUAUUAAUAGCCAAAAUUGGGAUAAAAUUGGUUUCCACAAAAGGUUGACCUUAGGUUGAGGUAAAAGUAAAAUUCAAAAAUUUUAUUCGUUUUUUUUGGAGAAAAAACAAAAAUUCAAAGGAAUUUCAAUCUUUCAAAGAGUCAAAUCAAUUAACUUUUUAAUGUCCAAUUAACAAUUAAUGAUAUCCAAAAAAACAUUCAUUGACCACAUACAGUGUCGUCGGCCAUCACCAGGCUCAUCAACUAAUCAGUUUUGUCUCCCUGUUCAUUAAUUAUCCAAAGAUGUACCUUUUGAUUGAUAAUCUUGACCGAUAACGGUUGACACCGGGAGGCCUUUGUAAAGAUACUUUACUCGACCAUUAAGUCUCAACAAUAUACAACCUUUUUUCACCAUCAUCAUGAUCAUCAUGAUAAUCAUCAUUUGUUUUUUCUCGCAGUCAUCUUGCUCUCUCAGGUAAAGGUAAAGAGCAAAUUAAAUUAACAUUCCUAGUGAAACAAAUUAAGACAAUCAAUAACUAACCAUUCAAUGGAACCAGAAAUGUCAUCAUGAAAGAAGAGAAAAAAAGAUUCUCUUUUCAGGCAAACGUCAACAUAAACAUUGAUCAUCUAUUGAUAAUCAGAGCAUCUUGUUGAACCUCUAAUUGUAUCAAUUUGUGUUAAUCUUUCCUCUUCAACAUCAUUUUACACUCGAUGUUUAUCAUUGUUCAUCAUUCAACAUUCUCAUUCUAUCAUCAUGAGCGCUUCAAACACUCUCGUCAUGCUUAAUAAUCACAAUUUAACAUUCAACUUUUUUUCUUCCAUUUUCCUGCUUUUCUCCUUUACCCUUGACCAUUGGGUGCCUCUAUUCAUCCAUUGAUGGUCAACAGACGACAGAGCAACUCAUUAAUAUACAUUAUUAGGUUUGACCAUUGGGUGGUCAAAAGCUGAUUAACUGAUUAUUCCUCAAUAAUAAACUUCAAAACAUAAUUACACUUUCAUCAAUGGACCAUUGACGACCAUAAUUCAUCAACAUUCAAUUGAAAUAGAAAGUUAAUUUACUUCUUUUGCCUCUUUUACUUUUACCGAGUUUUGUUCAUUCUAAUUCAUUUUUACCUUUCAAAAGCUGAAAUGUUCAAGAUCAAUGACCAAGAUUAACAUUAAAACAUGAUAAAUGCAAAGCAACAUUAAAAGAUUAUCCAACUUUAAUGUUUCA